rnacentral:rRNA from 1 species
GACAGAGGUGCCGAGCGUUAGGCGGAAUCACUGGGCUUAAAGCGUGUGUAGGCGGGUCCGUAAGUACCUUGUGAAAUCCCACGGCUCAACCGUGGAACUGCUUGGUAUACUGCGGGUCUUGAGCCACCUAGGGGCAAGCGGAACAAGCGGUGGAGCGGUGAAAUGCGUAGAGAUCGGAAAGAACACCAACGGCGAAAGCACUCUGCUGGGCCGACACUGACACUGAGAGACGAAAGCUAGGGGAGCGAAUGGG